CCUGACGAGUUAUCUUUUAGAUGACGAAGUGGUUGAUGCCAUGCUUCCAAGAAAAGCUUCUAAGCUUCAGGUAACCAGGAACCGUACCCCAAACCGACACAGGUGGUUGGGUAGAGAAUACCAAGGCGCUUGAGACACUCGGGUGAAGGAACUAGGCAAAAUGGCACCGUAACUUCGGGAGAAGGUGCGCCGGUGAGGGUGAAGGACUUGCUCCGUAAGCCCAUGCCGGUCGAAGAUACCAGGCCGCUGCGACUGUUUAUUAAAAACACAGCACUCUGCAAACACGAAAGUGGACGUAUAGGGUGUGACGCCUGCCCGGUGCCGGAAGGUUAAUUGAUGGGGUUAGCUAACGCGAAGCUCUUGAUCGAAGCCCCGGUAAACGGCGGCCGUAACUAUAACGGUCCUAAGGUAGCGAAAUUCCUUGUCGGGUAAGUUCCGACCUGCACGAAUGGCGUAACGAUGGCGGCGCUGUCUCCACCCGAGACUCAGUGAAAUUGAAAUCGCUGUGAAGAUGCAGUGUAUCCGCGGCUAGACGGAAAGACCCCGUGAACCUUUACUAUAGCUUUGCACUGGACUUUGAAUUUGCUUGUGUAGGAUAGGUGGGAGGCUUUGAAGCGUGGACGCCAGUUCGCGUGGAGCCAACCUUGAAAUACCACCCUGGCAACUUUGAGGUUCUAACUCAGGUCCGUUAUCCGGAUCGAGGACAGUGUAUGGUGGGUAGUUUGACUGGGGCGGUCUCCUCCUAAAGAGUAACGGAGGAGUACGAAGGUGCGCUCAGACCGGUCGGAAAUCGGUCGUAGAGUAUAAAGGCAAAAGCGCGCUUGACUGCGAGACAGACACGUCGAGCAGGUACGAAAGUAGGUCUUAGUGAUCCGGUGGUUCUGUAUGGAAGGGCCAUCGCUCAACGGAUAAAAGGUACUCCGGGGAUAACAGGCUGAUACCGCCCAAGAGUUCAUAUCGACGGCGGUGUUUGGCACCUCGAUGUCGGCUCAUCACAUCCUGGGGCUGAAGCCGGUCCCAAGGGUAUGGCUGUUCGCCAUUUAAAGUGGUACGCGAGCUGGGUUUAGAACGUCGUGAGACAGUUCGGUCCCUAUCUGCCGUGGACGUUUGAGAUUUGAGAGGGGCUGCUCCUAGUACGAGAGGACCGGAGUGGACGAACCUCUGGUGUUCCGGUUGUCACGCCAGUGGCAUUGCCGGGUAGCUAUGUUCGGAAUAGAUAACCGCUGAAAGCAUCUAAGCGGGAAACUAGCCUCAAGAUGAGAUCUCACUGGGACCUUGAGUCCCCUGAAGGGCCGUCGAAGACUACGACGUUGAUAGGUUGGGUGUGUAAGCGCUGUGAGGCGUUGAGCUAACCAAUACUAAUUGCCCGUGAGGCUUGACCAA
rnacentral:rRNA from 1 species